CAGCGGGGAAUAUUGCGCAAUGGGGGAAACCCUGACGCAGCAAUACCGCGUGAGUGAAGAAGGUUUUCGGAUCGUAAAGCUCUGUUAUUGGGGAAUAAAAAAAGACGGUACCCAAGAAGAAAGUUCCGGCUAACUACGUGCCAUCAGCCGCGGUAAUACCUAGGGAACAAGCGUUGUCCGGAUUUACUGGGCGUAAAGGGCACGCAGGCGGUUUUUUAAGUCAGAUGUGAAAGGUUACCGCUCAACUGUACACAUGCAUUUGAAACUGAAAGACUUGAGUAUUGGAGAGGCAAGUGGAAUUCCUAAUGUAGCGGAGAAAUGCGUAGAUAUUAGGAGGAACACCGGUGGCGAAGGCGGCUUGCUGGACAAAUACUGACCCUGACGUGCGAAAGCGUGGGGAGCAAACAGGAUUACAUACCCUGGUAGUCCACGCCGUAAACGAUGAGUGCUAGAUGUUGGGGAGACUCAGUGUCGCAGCUAACGCAAUAAUCACUCCGCCUGCGGAGUACGACCGCAAGGUUGAAACUCAA
rnacentral:rRNA from 1 species